UUUUUUUAAACUUAAAUACGGUAUUUCCGAAAAAGUCAAAGUAGAUGUUUAAAUUAAUUUUCUAAUUAUAGAUCUGUAUUUGGUUGGAUCAGUAAGUAGGUGAUCAUCAUCAUUCAAGAAUAAUUUGGAUGAGAUGGAAAGCAUGGAAGCAAGUAGGCUAUAUUUUUCUAUGAUAUGUGGUGAUUUAUAAGUAAAUAAAAAUUAAAAUACAUAUAUUAAAACUCAAAUCUUGCAUCUUCAGAAAUAUUAUUGGCAAAGCUUUGGAGGAUAACUUUAUCUUCUUUAGUGUUGUUGUGAACACAUCCAAAAGUUCUCAACAUAUAGUAAUUUGGUGCUUUGUUAUGAAAUAUCUCAUAUGGAGACUUGAAUACAAGCGGUCAGAAACAUGUUUAUCAAAUAAGUAGUUGCGAGCAUACUCUCUCUAAAAAAUGUUAGAAGGUUCUACUGUAGAAUUUGAUUACCAUGGCUACCUCUAAGAGGAGGAGUAUAAGGCAAGAGAAUUGUUGAAUUAUUCUUAAAGAUGCACGAUAUUGAGUUAUAUAGGCAUAUUUGAACUCUGUUCUAUUAUCUGACUUAAUUAUUCUGACUUUCUUAUCAUACUGCAAGUUCACCAUUGCAAUGAAUUCCUUUUAAACCUUCAAAAGUCUGAGUCUUACUUUUUAACAAGAAAGUUCAAGUUGUUCUUGAAAUAUCAUCUACAAUGGUUAAAAAGAAAUUGAAACCAUUAAUGUGAGAUGUUAAUGGCAACUUUCCCCAAAGGUCUACAUGUAUUAAGUAAAAUGCAUCAAUACUCCUAGUAAUACUUUUAACAUAUGAGAGUUUUGUUUGCUUAACCCUAGGACAUGCAGAACAUAUAUAAUCAGUACGUUUAACAUAUGAAUUUAUUAUGUGUUUAAAAUAUCAAACAUAUAUUUAAGUUUUUUAGAUGAAGCAUGACCCUGACAUUUCAAGUAACAAAAGAAACCACGUUUUUUUAGUUUUUGGAAAGAAAAAAACAUAGUGUUUGACCCCAAUUCUUCUCAAUUGUACUUGAACCUUUCUCAUAUUGAGUUCGGAGAAACCAUGGAUAAAGUAGCGUCUGUUUAAUUUGAGUUUGUCCAUAUUGAUUGCAAUGUUCAUAACACAAUUUUUUGUUAAGUCUUUUACCAUUUUUAUUCAAAACAUAUUUUUCGAGGAAUUUACCACUCUUCUUUGAAUUUUCAGCCUCAGAGUUGUCUUACUUGUUUGUUGUGGUCAUGGAGCGUUUGUCCUUUGAUUUUGUGGCUGCAAAAGCAUGUUUAUGCACUCCUGGUGCCCCUUAUGAUCCUCAUCAGUGGUGAUAAAACUCAAAGUUUCAUAAAUGGAAUUAUGGGAGAUAUCUUUUUAAUAGCAAGGAUCUGUGUCUUAAUAUUUGUAAAAUUUUCAUUCAAACUUAGCAAGAAAACAAUAAUUUUGUCUUGUU
rnacentral:lncRNA from 1 species